GAUUUAGGGACCCAUGAAUAUGCAGUCCCUAAUGUGGUGGUGCACCAUCCUGCUGGAAAAUGAUAGCUGGUCGAAGAUCAUCCAGUUGUGGUGCCACAUAUUCAGUCGAAAGAUGAAGGUAAAUAUUCACAGAAAUUGAUCUCUGUGAAGAAAAACGGACCAAUGAUUCAACUGCACAUCAUCCCACACCAGACGUUCACCCUAGGACUAGCCAUAUGGGGCCACAUGGGGAUUUUCUGAUCCCCAGAACCUCACAUUAUGUGUGUUCAGUUUCCCAGAAACAUGAAAGAUUGUCUCAUCACUAAAGCAAACUUGAGGUGAGGAAUGCUGCAGCCACAGAAAUUCAUUCCAGCAUGUUAACUGCAAACUCCUUUCACCUUGGUUUAUCAUUUGGUUCAAGUGCUUGUAAGAGAUGCACUUUGUAAGCGUACAAUCACAAGCUCUUGUGGACUUUGUACACUGUUGAUCAUGGUAGCAUUCAGGCAGCAGUACGUAUGGACUUUGUAGGAGAACUAGCAAAGGCUUGUCUUACAUGAUUGACAUUUUCCUCAGUUAAUUUUGGUCGCCCACUCUUUCUUAUAUCCAACACUGUUCCUAUUUCCAUAAAUUUCAUGUUCCAUGCUUGAACUGAUGGUGGAUGUCUUCCAUAAUCAAUCCUGUAAUUUUGCUGGGUCUGCAUGUUUGAUUUUGCUUCAGUAAACCAUGACACACAUUGUGCCUUUUCUUGAGGAGUAGCCACUAAAUUAGGUUUUCAUUUAGCAGAAACUUUUCCAUCAAUAGGGUACCUGAAAAACACAUGCAGUGUGGUUAGAAACUUUGAUAACCACUGAGUACACAGAACAAAGAGGAUAAACAUAUCCCAUAAUUUGCCUUUGUAAUCAAUUUUUGAAAUUGUAAAGAGUCUUUAUGGACAUCCUGUAUAUAUCCACAUGCUAUCAAGGUCAAUCAUGAAUAGUGGACAGAAGGAGAUAAUCCCUUGUUGAUAAAGAGUAAGAAAGUCUUUUCCUCCAUUUUCUAGAGAGGCCACUUGUUAGAGAAGCCAUAGGCCAACAGGUUUAGGAUCUGAAGAAAUGCUGUAAGGCUAAGCGCUUUAUGGAUAUGAAAUCUAGGUAACCCCAUGGACUGGCCAUAACUAUCAUUAUCUAUAUACUCUGCUGUUCUAUAACUUAGAGUGUGCUUCCUUUUUGGAUUUAAAAUUCACUGACGAUACAUACAUAAAUACUGAACGAUGAGAAUGAGUGCUCAGCAUCUCGGUGAUGGAUAGAAUUUCUUUAUUUGUGUAUUAAGGCUACCGUUGGUUUCAUGUUAAGAAAAAAAUAUCUUAAUAGGUGCAGGAGUGGCUGUGUGGUAAGAAGCUUGCUUCACAACCACAUGGUUCCAGGUUCAGUCCCACUGCAUGGCACUUUGAGCAAGUGUCUUCUAUAGCCUCAGGCCAACCAAAGCUAUGUGAAUGGAUUUGAUAGACGGAAACUGAAAAGAAGCCCGUCAUAUAUAUAUAUAUAUAUAUAUAUAUAUAGAUGCGUGUAUUUUUCCCUUGUUAAAAGGUUUUAUUUAAUAUACAUAUAGUCAUAAACUUCUCAUUUAUUUAGUUUUUCUUUACUUUAUCCCUCCUCUUUCUAUAGACUACCUCUGACGUUAUAUCCUAUAACGUUUUUUUGAAACAAUAUUAAUAGCGUUCAGUUAAUCACUAUACAUAUCCAUCAUUUUCUGUUAAAAUGUCUUAUUGAUGAGUUUCAUUUCUUCACUUCCCUGAAGAGAAGAUUACAUUGUUUUACACCAUUUUAUUCCUUUGGAAUAAUAUCAGUGAUAUCUUCGAAACAUGUGUCGGAAGUAAAAGAAUUUGAAUUACACCUGCGUUAAACUCCAUUUAUUUUUAUAUAUAUGUAUGUAUGUAUUUGUGUGUGUCCCCCCACCAUCGCUUGACAACCAAAUUUGGUGUGUUUAUGUCCCCAUAACUUAGUGGUUUGGCAAAAGAGCCCUAUAGAAUAAGUACUAGGCUUACAAAGAAUAAAUAGAAGAGUAAAAAUCUUAACAAUUUUUCAAACCAAUCACAUGGAGGAAUGGUGUUCAUCUCCAUUUUGGAUAAAAACUUUAUAUAUAUAUAUAUACAGUUUUUUUGUUUUAUUACAAAGACAGUGCUCAGGUAGGCAACUGAACAUGUUAGAUAUAUAUAUCUAUCAUCUUUAAAAGGAGAAUUCAAGCAGGUUUAACAAUUUAGAAUAAGAAUGCAACAUAUACUCAGCCAUAAAACCGGUGUAUGCAAAUUAUUAGAAAUUUACUGAUAUAUAAAAAUAUAAUAGACAUAUAUAAUAGACAUAUAAUGCUCGGGAGCAUUAACCUCUGAAAAUCUGCAGAAAACAACAUCCGUCACUUUCCAGGGGGAAAAACUAGAAGUAGUUGAUAGCUUCCGUUAUCUUGGUGACUAAGUCAGUAGUGGGGGUGGGUGUGCUGAAAGUGUAACGGCUAGAGUAAGAAUAGCCUGGGCAAAGUUUAGGGCGCUCUUACCUCUGCUGGUGACUAAAGGCCUCUCGCUCAGAGUAAAAGGCAGACUGUAUGAUGCAUGUGUACAAACAGCCAUGCUACAUGGCAGUGAAACAUGGGCCGUGACUGCUGAGGACAUGCGUAAGCUCACGAGAAAUGAAGCCAGUAUGCUCCGAUGGAUGUGUAAUGUCAGUGUGCAUGCUCGACAGAGCGUUAGUACCCUGAGAGAAAUGUUGGACCUAAGAAGCAUCAGUUGUGGUGUGCAAGAGAGAUGAUUGCGCUGGUAUGGUCAUGUGGCGAGAAUGGAUGAAGAUAGGUGUGUGAAAAAGUGCCAAUCCCUAGCAGUGGAGGGAACCCGUGGAAUAGGUAGACCCAGGAAAACUUGGGACGAGGUGGUGAAGCAUGACCUUCGAACUUUAGGUCUCACUGAGGAAAUGACCAGCGACCGAGACCUUUGGAAAUAUGCUGUGCGUGAAAAGACCAGGCAGGACAAGUGAGUACAGCCCACUUAUGCAUGCCUUUCCUCCCUUGGACACACAAAGACCUGUUGAGGCAAGCGAAGUCGAUAUCGAACCUCAUCCGACGACAGGCACCUAUGCCUACACCCCUUUGCUUGCGAAGACCUGUUGGGGCAAGUGAAAUCGGAAUCGAAAUUGAACCAAUCCUAUGACUGGCACCCGGCAGAUGCCAGGACCCCUGGACUGGAGAUACGUAAAAAGCACUAUCCGAAUCGUGGCCGAUGCCAGCACCACCUCGACUGGCUUCCGUGUCGGUGGCACGUAAAAAGCACCAUCCGAAUCGUGGCCGAAGCCAGUGCCGCCUCGACUGGCUUCCGUGCAGGUGGCACGUAAAAUGCACCAAUCCGACCGUGGCCGAUGCCAGCCUCGCCUGGCACCAGUGCAGGUGGCACGUAAAAAGCACCCACUACAUUCACGGAGUGGUUGGCGUUAGGAAGGGCAUCCAGCUGUAGAAACAUUGCCAGAUAAGACCAGAGCUUGGUGCAGCCUUCUGGCUUCCCAGAUCCCCGGUCGAACCGUCCAACCCAUGCUAGCAUGGAGAACGGACAUUAAACGAUGAUGAUGAUGGGUAGAAAAACUAUAGUGAUAUAUAAAAAUAUAUAUAUAUGUAUAUACAUAUGAGUUCAGCAAAAUUUAGAUUCAGAUGAAUAUGGUACUUAAGUUGAAGGCACCAGAAUUUAGUAUGGUAUUAUCCAUACAAUUUAAAAUGAGGUGAUUAUAAUCAAAAUAAGCAACAAGGAUAUCCAGAGGUAAUGCAGUAUGAUCAUUUCAUGCGACUCCAUUUAAUUGUUUGCAUUGAUCAAUUAAAUGGAGUCGCAUGAAAUGAUCAUACUGCAUUACCUCUGGAUAUCCUUGUUGCUUAUUUUGAUUAUAUGUAUAUAUAUCUAUUUCUUUAUUGCCCACAGGGAAUUAAACAUAGAGGGGACAAACAAAGAGAGACAAAGGCAUUAAGUCUAUUACAUCGACCCCAGUGCAUAACUGGUACUUAUUUAAUCGACCCCGAAAGGAUGAAAGGCAAAGUCGACCUUGGCGGAAUCUGAACUCAGAACAUAACAGUAGAUGAAAUACCACUAAGCAUUUCACCUGGCGUGCUAACGAUUCUGCCAGCUUGGCGCACUUAUAUAUGUAUAUAUAUAUUGAAACCAUAAUGAUAUCCAUGGGGCAGCCGAUGAUAGAGGUGUGUUGGAUUGUUGGUAUGGCUGUGGAAUAGUAUUAUAACACAUCUUGUUGAUGGAUUUGGUUUGCAAGAUUCUUUAUAUGAGUUUGUGUGUGAAGCAUAUUCUUGUGUCUCAGGAGAGUCAUUUUCCUUUUGUGCCUUAUAAUGUAACACACUCAUCAGUGAAAUUUUCACUUAUUUCUUAAUUUCCUAAAAUUGUCGUUGCAUCUUGCAACCUUUUCAAUAGUCUUGACUCUGUCCGUUAUUUACACUGCGACUUAGGAAAAUAAAAAAGUGGAAAUUUCACCAGUGUUACAUUAUAAGGCACAAAAAGAUGACUCUCCCCAGACACAGCAUUUUGUUUAUUUAUAAAUAUAUAUAUAUGUUUGUUUUUGUUUAGUUAUAAUAAAAAUAAUUUUACAUAAAUCUGAUGGAUUAUACUAUACUUUAGUAGAGUAGGAAUUUAAUAUCUUUAAACAAGAAAGUUAUUGAUAGUGACUUCGAAGUUUCAACCAGCUAAGCUAUCAAAGUCAUUGUCAAUAAUAUUCAUGCAUCUCUAUAUGUGUUUGUCCCCACGAGCUACAAACUGGCAGAAACGUUAGCACGCUGGGCGAAAUGCUUAGCAGUAUUUCGUCUACCGUUAUGUUCUGAGUUCAAAUUCCGCUGAGGCUGACUUUGCCUUUCAGGGUCGAUUAAAUAAGUACCAGCUAUACACUGGGGGGUCAAUGUAAUAGACUUAACACCUUUGUUUGUCCCCUCUAUGUUUAGCCCCUUGUGGGCAAUAAAGAAAUAUAUAUGUGUUUCUUCCCCACCACUGCUUGACAACUUAGCAGUUUGGCAAAAGAAACCAAGAUAUUAAAUACCAGGCUGAAAAUCAUAAGUAUCAGAGUUAAUUUAACUAAAAAUUCUUCAAGGCAACACUUCAGCAUGGCCACAGUCUCAUGACUGAAAUAGACAAGAAAGAGUAAAAGAUAUACAUAUUAUUAACAUCUUCAUUGUUCUCAAACUAGAGUGUUGUCUGUCAUAUGAGGAGUAACUUUAGAAGUAUACUUCCACAACCAUGGGUAAUUUGAUACAAGUUGGAUUAUAAUUAUUUACGAAUGCCAUAUCUCUUGAUAUCACCUUUGGUGGUGGAAACGUAUUAAUAUUGUAGCAGUUGGAAGAGUUUGCUGUAAGGUUUUAAGUUAGUAAAUACCCUGGUGAUUAAUGCUAAGAAAAGGGUGGGAGGGAAUACUCAACUAAUGAAAACCUUAUUUGAAAAGUAUCUAAGGAAAAUAUACAUUCCAAUUAAUAUUAAUUACUACGGAGGCUUUCUCAGUAAUUUCUAACUGCUCUGUCAUUUAUCCUUCUUCCCCCCUCUUCCUCCUCCCAACCCUCUUCUCCUCCUCCCCUCUGUCAUAUAAGUGUGUGUGUCUUUGUCCCCCACCACUGCUUGACAACUGGUGUUGGUGUGUUUAUGUCCCUGUAACUUAGCAGUUCAGCAAAAGAGACCAAUAAACUAAGUACCUGGCUUAAAAGAAAAAUAAGUGCUGGGGGUGGGGGGGUCAAUUCAUUCAUCUAGAAAUUCUUCCCAGCCAUGCUCCAGUAUGGCUGCAAUCUAAUGACUGAAAAAUGUAAAAGAUAAAGGAUAAAUGGAUUAUUGAAAUUUUGUAAAUGAGAAACUUUCUCAAAGGCAUUUGUACAAUUUUAAUAGCAAUAACCAACAUUUUACUGACUCAGUCACUUCUCAUCCAUAUUUCAACUAAAAAAAAAUAAAGACCCCCUUCAGUUGUGAAUGACAAUGGGACUGCACCUAGAAAGUUCCCCUCUGAGGUACAAGUCUGGGCAAGACUGUUCAUGGAAGGCCAGCAGUCACCCAUGCAUACCAGUUUCCCCUCUCUAUGCCGCCGAUGUUACCCAAGGCAAAGGUCAAUACAGCUCAUUUCUAUAGCUGAGUGAACUGGAGCAAUGUGAAAUAAAGUGUCUUGCUCAAGAACACAACACACAGCCUGGUCUGGGUAUUGAACUCACUACCUCGUAAUUGUCAGUCCAAUGCUCCAAACACUGAGCCAGGCACCUUCACCAUAUUUUAACUAGAAUACUUGAAAUUUACAAGAUGCUACAAUUGUAUUUGUUCAUCUUUAAAUAUAUCAAAGUCAUUGGAAUUAUGUCUAUAAGUUGCUGUUAUUGAUCAACCACACACUUAGGCAGAAAGAGCUGAAAGAACCUCUAAGUAGUUGCUUAAUCUACUAAAAAUGGCAGUCCAAUCUUCAAAAUUAAUCCUUCCAAUCAGCUGUUGAUGAUCCACUCCUGGAUGGGUGAAAUCCUUAACCCUUUCGAAGCCAACCAGCUGAAAUUGUCCCUAUCCUUUUGAUAUAAACUUCUUUUUUUAAAGCGAUCGACUUAAAACUUUCGAAAUUUCAUGUUAAUUUAUGUUCCAUGCAUCAACUUAAUAAUGACCAAAUUACAAGGGGGUACUGAAAAGUUCCUGGCUUUAAGGGUAUCAUGAAAGGCCUGGUUGCAUGCCCAGCCUUCUGAGUUCUUUUACAGGGCUUAAGAAAACUGAAGGACCACAGCAAUAAGCAUGUGAAUCUGAGCGGGGAAUUUUUUUUUCUCGCCCUUUUCAAGUCUAGCCAGGAUCAUGGGCCCAGUUUCCCGGUUUCUGUGGCGUAUGUGUUCCCCCCAGCUGGACAGGACACCAGUCCAUCACAGCGUUACUCAAGAAACAGGAAAAGAGAGUGUGAGAGAAAGUUGUGGCGAAAGAGUACAACAGGGGUCGCCCACCAACCCCUGCUGGAGCCCAGUCUGGGAAUCGAAACCGCGAUCCUCCGACUGCAAGUCCGGUGCCCCUAACCACUGGUCUAUUGUGCCUCCACCCUGAGAGGGGAAUAUGUUGCAUAAAAUCAUAAUUAACUUAUCUUCCUGUAUUUUCUUUUACUCAAAACCAGGAACUUUUCAGUAUCCUCUUGUAUUUUAAUUCUUCAAUAUUUUCAAAAUGAAUUAAAACAAACUCAGUAUGUUUCAACAGAAAUAUGGUAACAAGAAGGUCAACAUGACAUUGUCAACUUACAUAUGCUGGUUGUGUGCCUGUCCUGUUUUAUGCUGGGCAGUUGUAAAUUGGAUGGGAUUACGAAUGUUAAUCACCUGUAGUAAGGUAAUUGACUCUGGCCACUGGCACCUGCAGUUCACCUGACAGCAGCAGUUCUCAACCAUCCUUUUGCUGUCCUCUGAUGAUUUCUCUCUAUAAAUACAACAAAAUUUUUCUUGAAUUGAUUUGUUUAUUUAUUUUGGUGUGGACCCCUAAAAAAAAUCCAGGGUUUGCAUCUGACCUGGAUACUAAUAAUAUUUGUAAGUGAGAUAAUUAUUGCAGGAAUUUGUAAAAAUUAAUCCUCUCAUAAUUUUAAGACUGUUAUAAUUUUAUGAAACCUUGUUCAUAAUUUUUGAAAUGAUGAAAUUAGAUAUAAAAAUCUCUAAAUCAGGUUUUACAAAUUAGUGUUCCAUCAAUCUGAUUCUUCAUUAAUUCUCAUUUUAUUCAAAAUUCUGCUUCCUUUUUCAAUACUAAUUUGUCAUUUCAAAUUAAUUCAUCAUUGCUUUUAAUAUCCAGAAAAUUAUAUUUCUUGUCAUCUCUCCAAAAUGCCAUGAAUUCAAACUUUGAUAAAUGUAUUGUUGUGCUUGCAAAUAAGCUUCACUUCUGCAUAGACCAGUCUUGCUAAAUAGUCUCUUGGAAAAUUCACGGUAAUCGAUUUUAAAGUCUUUAUUCACAAAAUCUUUGCAUAUUUCAAUAAAAUAUGGAAUCUUGCAAUAUUUUGUGGAAGAAUUUGGUAAGUUGACUUGUCAUAAAGAAUGAAAAUUCUAACAUUCUGGAUCCUUACCAAUUCUAACCUUCUGAAUCCUCCUGAGAGUUAAGAAGAGAAAGAAAGAUUAAGUGGUAUUGUUGCUGCUUGCAUCCAAAAUUACAACACUUUCAGAUGAAGAAGAAAGGCUCAAAAUAUUAGAUUAUCCAUGCUUCACAUCAAUUUUUAAAUUCAUUUAACAAUUUUUGUUUUUGUUAUAUAUAUAAAAGUGAUCUGCUGUUUCGGUCAUUACUAUGAUUUCUUACAUAGACACAAAAUGAGGAAUUUGAGGGAGGAACCUUAUGUAUUUAUUUUACCAAAAUCCCAGCAGGAUGAAAGCCAAAGUUAAUCUUGGUAUGAUUUGAAAUCUCUGCAUAAAGAUUGUAACUAAAUGAAUAUUGCAUUGUGUGCUAAUGAUUUUUGCCAACUACUACUAAUACUAAUACUAAUAAUAAUAAUAAAAACAACAACAAGCACUCAGAGAGCACAAACCUCCGCCAAGGCAACACCAACGUCCUCUCAAUGAUUAGCUGGAGAUGAUUUUUAAAAUGAGAAUAUCUGAAAUGAACUCGACUGCUCUCACAAAUGAGAAUACUAAAAAUGAACCCAACUGCUCACAAAAUUUAAAUAAAAAAACUAAAAAAAUAAUCCAGAAUCCUUGUCCGGUACCAGAUCAAUCCCCAAAUCUACCCAGUUCAUGCCAGUCAUGAGGCCAAACAUCAUUGAAAGUUUCAUCCAAAUCCAUCCAGCGGUUCUUGAGAUAUCCUGUCCAUAGACAAACAAACAAACAAACACGACUGAAAACAAUACUUCCGCCUUAGCAAAGGCAGAGGUACUAAUUCUUUGGUAGCUCUGUGGAAAUCACAGCCUACUAAGAGAAAAGACACGGUGUGAGCAAACCCCAGAAGGAGUCAACAAAAAUGAGAAUUGCAAAAUACUGUGGGAUGCACUGAUCCAGUGUGAUCACCUGAUCAGGCAUAGGAAAUUAAACAUUGAAUUGGGUGAAUAAAUAAGAAAGAUAAUCAACAUUGCAUACCCCAGUGACAACAGGAUUAAUGUGAAAGAAGAAGAAAUAAGGUUGUGGUCAAUGAAGAGAGUAGACGCGAUACCAAUAGUAAUUGCUGCACUUGGAAGUAUCAGCACUCAAGUACUAACAUAGCUGAAAAAGUACAAGGCCUUAAAUUUAGGGAAAGGAAUUAAGUCGAUUACAACAACCCCAGUGUGUAACUGGUAUUUAUUUAAUCAACCCAAAAAGGAUGAAAGGAAAAGUCAACCUUGGCAGAAUUUGAACUCAGAACAUAGUGGCAGAUGAAAUACCGUUAAGCAUGCUCACGAUUCUGCCAUCUCACCACCUUAAAACUACUACUAUGAAUAAUAAUAAUAAUAAUCCUUUUUACUAAAGGCACAAGGUCUGACAUUUUGGGAGAGGGGACUAGUUAAUUAUAUCAACUCCGAAAGGAUGAAAGACAAAACCAACCUCAUCAGAAUUUGAACUCAGAACGAAAUGAUGAAGGAAAUACCACCAAGCAUUUUGCCCAGUAUGCUAAUGGUUCUGCCAGCUCACUACUUUAAUAAUAGUAAUAUGCCAAUACUCACAAAUUGAGGAAUUAAGGCCAAUAGGCCGGAUAUAGUUGUCAGAGAUCAUCAAGAAAAAAAUGCUUUCUAAUCAAUGUGUCAAUACCAACAGAUGACAACAUUUCUCUAAAAGAAACAGAGAAACUUACGAAAUAGAGGUAACUUGAAUGCGGAUCCUAAAAACAGAAACAAUUCCAAUCAUAAUAGGCACAUUAGGUAUGAAAAAAAAUAUUCAGACAAAUACAUAACAAAAACACCAGGACUAACAAGUAUAUAUAAUAUAUAGAAAAUAGCACUACUAGGCACCACACACAUCCUACACUUUCAAUACAGUAAAAAUAAGAGCAUCGCAACAAACCAGAGCACAUACCCAAGACACACAGAGCUGCAAUGAAAGCACAUGAUAAAAAUAAGACUACUGAAUAAUUAUAAUGAUUUCAUUUAUUUACCACAAAAUCGAAAUUGAUCAACAUCAAUGGAAAUUGCAGCUGUGAUACCAGUGCCGGUGGUACGUAAGAUAACCAUCCGAACGUGGCCAUUGCCAGCGCCGCCGCGACUGGCCUCGUGCCGGUGGCACGUAAACAGCACCAUCUGAUUGUGGCCGUCGCCAGCCUCUCCUGGCCCCCGUGCUGGUGGCACGUAAAAAGCACAUCCGAGCGUGGCCGUUCGCCAGCCUCGUCGAGCACCUGUGCCGGUGGCAUGUAAAAAGCACCCACUACACUCACGGAGUGGUUGGUGUUAGGAAGGGCAUCCAGCCGUAGAAACACUGCCAGAUCAAACUGGGCCUGGUGCAGCCUUCUGGCUUCCCAGACCCCAGUUGAACCGCCCAACCCAUGCUAGCAUGGAAAGCGAAUGCUAAACAAAGAUGAUGAUGAUGAUGAUGAAGGGUGAAGGAUCAGGGGACAAUACAAAGGCAGACAAAGUGUGGGGGUUUACAUGUAAUGAAAUGUUAGAAAGAAAGUAUACACUGAAAAAGAAGGGACAUAUGCAUAGCAUACAAAGGUUUAAAAAGAAAAAGAAGUGGCAGGGAGGAUGACAGAAAUGUGACCCUCCUGAUACAGGAAGGCCUCUAGGGAUAAUCAAAGAACCCCACUGUCCAAUGAAAAUAAAAUUGCAAGAAUUUGGAGAAUGUAAACUGUAAAGGCUGUGCUUGUAGUAAUUGGUGCAUUGGGAAUUGUAAGUAAAGAUAUAGAGGAAUGAUUGAUCAAGAUUGGAAUAGAAUGUCCUUGCCUCUUAGGGACAGGAAAAAUUAUCGAGAGGGUUUUAAGCACUUGAAAGAUCAUUGAAAGCUUGUGGAUACCUAAGGUUACAGGUAGCAAUCCACUACUCACAUAAAUUCUAACAGGAAUAAGGAUGAACCUGAGUCAAAUCACCAUUAAUGAAGUGCAGAAUUAACAAUGUGUGGUGUGAGGGGUGAAAUGGUAUGGCACAUUGUUAGCAAAUGCCCGAAAUUGGCACAAUGCAAAUAUAAAUGAUGCCAUGACAAUGUGGCAUGAAUGACCCAUUGGGAGCUAUGUGGAAAUCACGGCCUACAAAGAGAAAAGACGCAGUAUGAGCGAACCCCAGAAGGAGUCAACAAAAAUGAGAAUUGCAAAAUAGUGGGGGAUGCAAUGAUCUAGUGCAAUGACCUGACCAGGCAUAGGAAACCAGACAUUGAUGUGGUGAAUAAACAAGGAAGAUAAUCGACAUUGCAUACCCUGGUAACAACAGGAUCAAUGUGAAAGAAGAAGAAAUAAACAACUAUGAUAAUUUAAAGUGAGAAAUAAGAAGAUUGUGGUCAAUGAAGAGAGUAGAUGUGAUACCAAUAGUAAUUGGUGCAUUUGGAAGUAUCAGCACUCAACUACCAGCAUAGCUGAAAAAGAUUGGUACAAGUGUGAAGGUAGAACACCUACAAAAAUCAGCAUUGCUUGGAACUGCAAGAAUUCUUCACAGGGUUCUAGAAGCAUGACCAGUAAACAAGUGUCACCUUAGUCUGCUGGUUGUGGACAAUUGACACUUUCCAUCAUGCCCAGCAAAAUAAGCUGUGAGUUUUCAUAUAAUAAUAAUAAUCUUCUUUUCUACUCUAGGCACAAGGCCCAGAAUUUUAGGGGAUGGGACCAGUUGAUUGGAUUGACCCCAGUACACAACUGGUACUUAAUUUAUCAACCCCGAAAGAAUGAAAGGUAAAGUCAACCCCAGUGGAAUUUGAACUCAGAAUGCAAAGACGGACAAAAUACCAGUAAGUAUACCGGUAAGUAUUUUGCUCAGCGUGCUAACCAUUCUGCCAGCUCACUGCCUUGAUGAUAAUAAUAAUGAUAAUAAUAAUGAUGAUAAUGAUAAAGAGAACAGAAAGUGCCAGAUAAUUGACUUUACAGUCACAAAUGAUGAGAAAAUCAAUAUGAGAUGUAUAGAAAAAAUAGCAAAGUACCAGGACCUAGCUAUUGAAUUACAGAGACUAUGGAAAGUGUGGGUAAAAUGUAUCUCAAAAGCUAUAGGUGCAUUGGGAACUAUCCCUAAAGUCUGAACAGAUAGAUAGAUAGAGGAAAUAGGUAUAAAACCCAGUUUAGUACAGCUCCAGAAAACAGUGUUAUUAGGGACAGCUAAGAUACUUAGGAGGGUUCUUGGCAUCUAAGGUUAUUUGGUGUAGCAUUAUGUUAGGAAUUUUUUUUUUUUGCAACAGUCUAAUCUAUAUGAAUAAUAAUAAAAAUAAUAAGAAAUUGGAAGUGUUAUCAUGUACAUGUUUUGUUUUGGUAUAAAAGAUGGGCCACAGCAAAUAUUCUGCUCAAUACCACAGAUUUGCUUGUUAGUUCUUUGACCUUAACCAGUUGAGCAUGUCCCUAAGUGGCUGACAAUAUGUGCAUCUCUGAUCAUGAGCAGAAGUAGUGGGGGAGCAUCAUAGCCAUGUGUUGAGAGGAAUUCUUUGUGGUUUGAAUAAUUCACCUCAGGAAACAUGGGUGUUUUGUUCAACAUCCUUAAACAACCCUUAUUCAGGGACCUUUUGAGUGGGAUGGGCUACUCAACCUGAAGAAAAUUUUAACUGGGUCCCACCUGCAAGGUUAUGUACUGUUUAUCUUGAUAUAGGAUCACCAUGUCGCACACAUAUAGUUGUAAUGCAUGUGACUAGUGUACCCUUCCUGGGCUUUUGAUAAAAUGAUAAUAAAUGUUUGCAAUAUAGGCAAAAGGCCUAUAUUAAGCUUGGGGUAAGGUGUAGUUAAUUAGGACAGUGUUCUGUUGUUGACCGGCAUUUAUUUCAUUGAUCCUGGAAGGAUGAAAGAAUAAGCUAAGGCUUGCAGGAUUUGAAUUGAAAACAUAAAGAGAUGUAACUAAACACCACACUGCAUUCAUUCCAAUGCUAUACAUUUACUGCUGUCUAUAAUAAUAAUAAUAAUAACAACAACAAUAGCAAUAAUAACAACAUUGAUAAAACAAAUAGCAAUAAUAAUUGUUCUUUCUUGCUCUCUUUUUAUCUCAUUUUUACUUUCAAUAACGAUAUAUUUUAUUAGUUUUUAAGAUUUAUCUGCUUUAGGCAGUUACUUUUUUUUUAAUCUAUUUUUUCCCUUCAAUAUUUUAUUUGACACUAGUUGUUUUGUCAACAUUUAGUGAUUCUAAAGCUGACAGCUGCUUUUACUUUUUUUUCUUUCCCCCCUUUUGUUUUGUUAUUUUCUAAAGAAAAUCUGUUAUAUCUACCUGAAUAGGUUUAUGAAUUUCAGAAAUAAAAUAAAAAUGUUCUUUUAUUUGAAACUAUAGCUGUAUUGUCUGUUUUAUUGAACGAGUUUGUUGUCAAGACUCAUACUAAAACGAAUGUAUCUGAUAAAGAGUGAAAGAAUGUUUCUUAGUAUUUUCCGUUAAUUGAUAUACGUUUGGUAUUUUAUGUGAAUCAUCAUGUCAGAUUCUCUACGUAGUUUUUACUGGCAGAUAGAACAACUUUUGUUUCCUAGUAUAUCAGCUAUUUUUAAGUCUCAUAUGUCUUUGAUAAUAUCUUUAAUUUAAUUACUUUAAUGGUAAUAACCAUACAAACUCUUUAAAUUGUUUUAACUCAUGAAACUGAUCAUCAUUCAGGAAAUUUGCAUAAUUUUCAUGUAUUUUAGUUUUCUUCCCUCUUAAUUUUGAAUUGCCUUUUUUUUUUCUUUUUUCUUAAAUAUUUUUGUAAUAUAUCUUACGUUUUUCUUGAAAUUAGAUUUAUUAAAAUGAAGCAGGAAGCUCAUGCAUACAAUUUGAGAUACAAAUUUCUCCUUUAGGAAGAAUUGAAACAAGACAAAAUUAAGAUAUAUGGAAAAGAAGAAACAAUAAAUACAGUGUUUUAUAACAGAUGGGAAAAAUGUGAGAUAAUUUGAAGAAAAUUGGAAAGUAAAUGUAAGACAAAAUGUACAAAUGUAAAUGACGUAUAGACUCUGAAAUGGUGUCAGCAUCCUGCGAAAUAGAACUUAAAUAAACACAUUGCAAAUAAAUUUAAUUACAAUAAACAUAAAAAUAUUUGCUAAAUCAUUCAACUGGAAAUUUAUCAAUUUAUCAAAUAUUUCCAUGGACCUGAAAUGGUAGACUGCAUGACAAAAAUGGCUUAUAUUAUUUAAACCUGUCUGCCUAUGUUACAAAUUCAAACCACACUGGAGCCAAUUUUGUCUUUUCCUCCAUCCAUUCAAAGUGCCCCGGUGUAUUAUUUUUGGUAUUAACAGAACCAGUCAUACUAACUGCCUCAUGAAGCAUCAACACCGGAAGCAAGUGCAAACUUUUCUGUAUAUUUUCUGAUUGAAAUGCAAAAAGAUAUUUUAUUCAAUUCUCAACUAAAC
rnacentral:lncRNA from 1 species